rnacentral:tRNA from 1 species
GCGCCAGUAGCUCAGUUGGAUAGAGCAUCCGCCUCCUAAGCGGAAGGUCAGGGAUUCGAGCUCCUUCUGGCGCGCCA